rnacentral:misc_RNA from 1 species
AAGACUAUAGACCUGCGGAGUACCUGCGGAAGGAUCAUUACCGAGUGCGGGCCCUCGCGGCCCAACCUCCCACCCUUGUCCCUAUACACCUGUUGCUUUGGCGGGCCCACCGGGGCCACCUGGUCGCCAGGGGACGCUCGUCCCCGGGCCCGCGCCCGCCGAAGCGCUCUGUGAACCCUGAUGAAGAUGGGCUGUCUGAGUAGUAUGAAAAUUGUCAAAACUUUUAACAACGGAUCUCUA